rnacentral:tRNA from 1 species
GCCGUGGUCGCAUUUGGUCUUUAUUUUCAAUUGCGUACCAGAUUCCCAAGCUGGACGUCGCGGGUUCGAGUCCCGUCUCCGGCUCCA